GACUCUGUGGCGCAACGGUAGCGCGUCUGACUCCAGAUCAGAAGGUUGCGUGUUCAAAUCACGCCAGGGUCG
rnacentral:tRNA from 1 species